rnacentral:rRNA from 1 species
GCCUACGGGACGCAGCAGUGAGGAAUAUUGGUCAAUGGGCGGGAGCCUGAACCAGCCAAGUCGCGUGAGGGAAGAAGGUACUGAGUAUUGUAAACCUCUUUUGCCAGGGGACAAAGGCGGCCACGGGUGGCCGUAAGAGGGUACCUGGAGAAAAAGCAUCGGCUAACUCCGUGCCAGCAGCCGCGGUAAUACGGAGGAUCCGAGCGUUAUCCGGAAUGAUUGGGCGUAAAGGGUGCGCAGGCGGUCCUGCAAGUCUGGAGUGAAACGCAUGAGCUCAACUCAUGCAUGGCUUUGGAAACUGGAGG